rnacentral:sRNA from 1 species
CAGUGGAAAGCUGGGGACAAAUGAAAUGGACGUGGGAAUCGAUGCCUCCGGCCGUGAGAAUAAGUCCUUCGCCAGCCACAACUUCCGUAUUUACCUGUGUUGUCGAGAUCCAAAAACUUAGUAGCGAGGAAGAAGAUGAUAAAAGAACUUACUCCCACGAUCAUGUUGGACGAUACCGCGUCCAUCACGUCGGGAUUUCCAGCCUUUCCAAUCCCACAAAUGUAACCAUGCUUGAUGCCUACGUCCGCUUUGUAGAUUCCCGUGUAGUCGAUCACCACAGCGUUUGUGAUGACUGUGUCGAGCGUCUCGUCGGCCUUGUAGCCGGUUCCUUGUCCCAUCCCAUCGCGG